ensembl:lncRNA
AUAAAAUUGAAAAGUUGUACACAGACAAAAUGGUAUUAGCAAGGAAAGUUGAGAGAAAAAAUGUGCUUGCAGCAAAUAUUUUUGACAAAGGAACUAAGAACUGAUACAAAUGUAUGAAGAUGGAGCCAUUUUCCAGUAGAUAGCCAAAGGAUUUCAACAGUAGGUUUCAAUAGAAGAAACCUAAGCUAUCAACAAUAAUAUGCAAAAUAUAUUCUAAAAAUAUAAGAAAUGCUAACUAAAACAUCUGAGUUUCCACUUUACACACAUCAAAUUGGUAAAAAUAACAAGGAAAUUACAAUUGGGUGAAGAUGGGUACGUUAAUAAUAUUUGAUGGAACUGUGAAGUGGUCCAAUCAUUUUGGAAAGCAAUUUGGAACUAUGCCCAAAAGUCAUCAAAUUUUUCUACAGUAUAGGCAUGUAAUCCCCAAAUAGAUCAAAAACAGAAUGAAAGGACUCAUGUGUACAAAAAAGAAAAUUAUAGCAAUAUUUUUUUGUGGUAAAAGAGAGCUGGAAACAAUUUCUUAUUCAGUUAUAUCAGCCCUCUCUAACUCUUUGGGAUGUCAUUUGGGGUUUUCUUGGCAAAGAUAUUGGAAUGGUUCCUUCUCCAGCUCAUUCUACAUAUGAGGAACUGAGGUCCAGGAUCACACAACAAGACAAGAUUAGACUUCAUGAAAAUGAUUCUUCCUGAAAAGGCCCAGCAUUCUGUCUACUUCAGUUACUAGCUUCCCUGGAAACAGUAGAUUUCUAUCAACUAGAGAAGGCUAAAUAAAUUGUCUAAAGAAUCUAAUGAAAUAGUACUGUGCUAUGAAGAAAUAUUCAGAUUCAGAGAUUUUUAAGAAUGUUUAUAUAAGCUGAUACUAAGUAAGUGAAUGAAACAAGAUCAAACAAAAAGCUGUAUGUGGCCAUAACAUGGGAAAAGCAAAUAAUGAGACAGUGUAAUCAUAGAAGUAUAGAUUUAGAACGGGAAUUUCUUAAAAUAUUAAUACUAGAAAAGUAGAGAUUAGAAAAUAGUUGAGAACAAGUCACCACUGAUGAGUCAAAGAUGUUCCAUAAUUGGAACUAGUUUGGGUAAAAAGUUUCGAGAAGAAAAACAGAAGGAAGCACAUCAGCCAAAAUCAAAAGUACCUUUUCAAUGUCUCUUCCACCUUGAUUUAAGUAAGGAUCUGUUAGGAGAGGAAAAACGAAAGCUUGCAAAUUUUCCUCACCAGUGUUGAAUAAAAGAAUUACAUUGUGUUUUUUGUCUUUUUUAGCCUAAUUUUCCUAGUAUGCUUGCUUGCCAAAAAUUAUUUUAUGGAGAACACACAGGGCAAGUGCUCACAAGGUGGUCAGAAAAAGCGAUAAGGGCACUCUCAAGGUCUCUCUUAAGAACUUUGGAACUGAUUGCAGGGCAUGGGAGACACUGGUAAGGACCAUCCAGCACGGCAUGCCCUCAUCAGAGAAGAUGCUGUGCCUUAUGAGCAAAGCAGAACUAAAGUAAAUAAGAAGAAAUUCAAGAUGUGAAAAGUUAGAGAAACCACCCCAAAUGUACAAAUAUAUAAAACUUACAUCAGCCAAUUACAGCUGCCCAGCUAUUGGUAUAACAGAAUCCAAAUCCCCUUAGGACACACUCCACCUUACCCCUACCAUAUUUUAAUCUUCUCACGUCCAAAGUGAUCCACCCAACCUUUAUGUCCUAUCCACCUCUAGGUACAAAUCCCUCAGUCUACCAAAAAGCAUUGAAGAGUUUCUUAUCAUAAAUAUCCUGAUAGAUUUCCAAUCAUGGCUCCUUUUCUGUUGUAAGAAUUCUAGCCAUCAAAGAUUCAUGUGUUGUGCACACAAUUGAACCUUGGAUACUAUUUAUUUCUGUCUAAAGGAGAAACUCUGGGAGUGCACCUGAGAACAGGGGCUUUUAUUUAUUUGUCCCAAAUGGAUCAAUGCAGUUAUUUCUUAUUUUCUUAUAUUUACUAUUUUUCUUAUCCCCUCAUCACCAUGCACACUUUAUUUUUGUGUAAAAAGUAUUAUAUUUUUUUCCAAUUACAUGUAGUUUUCAGCAUUCAUUUUUUAUGAGAUUUUGAUUUCCAAAAUUUUUCUCCCUCCAAUUCCCCUUCCCUAAGACAGCAAGCAAUCUGAUAAAAGUUAUAGAUGUAAACAUAUUUCCAUAUUAGUCAUGUUAUAAAAGAAGAAAGAGAACAAAAAGAAAAAGCUACCAAAAGAAGUGAAAAUACUAUGCUUCUAUCUAUAGUCAGUCUCUUUCUUUCUCUGGGUUUGAAUAGCAUUUUACUAUCAUGUCAUGAUUCUUUUGGAAUAUCUAGGAUCAUUCUUUUGCUGAGAAAAGCCAGGUCAAUCAUAGUUUUUCAUCAUACAAUGCUGAUAUUUCUGUAUGCAACUUUCUCCUGGUUCUGUUCAAUUCACUCAGCAUCAGUUCAUGUAAGUCUUUCCAGGUUUUUGUGGUCAGUCUGCUCAUCAUUUCUUACAGUACAAAAGUAUUCCAUUACAUUUAUAUACCACAACUUGUUCAGUCAUUUCCCCAAUGAUUUGUUCAAUUUCCAAUUCUUUGCUACCACAAAAAGAGCUGCUAUAAAUAUUUUUGUACAUAUAAGUACCUUUCCCUUUUUAAUGAUUUCUUUGGAAUACAGACCUAGUAGUAGUCUAGUAGUCGUAUUACUGCAUCAGAGGAUAUGUAGUUUUAAACUGCUCACCAGAAUAACUGAUCAGUUUAAAACUCCACCAACAAUGCAUUAGUACAUUUCCAAUUUUGUGUAAAAUUAAUUUAGAGAAAUAGGUUAAGAGGUUAUAGAGGCCUUGAAUGUGAAGCUGAAAUAUUUGCAACUAAUUAGAAUAGGAAGAAAUGGAAAAAAAAGGUAUGGAAAUUUCUAUAACAAACCAAAUCACCAUAUUUUGAUUCAAACAUUUCAUUGUAUGCUACAUGAAGUGGAAAUGGUACUAAAUAAAACAAAGCUGAAUAUGAGGUUGCCCCAGGAACAUAUCUUCCACAUACUCACCACCUCAUAACAAUAAGAAAUUUUCCAAAGCAAAAAAAGACAAAACAAAAGUACCAAGUGCAUAUUCCAAGUUCCCCAUGAUUAUAGUGGUAUUUUCCCCUUGUAAUCACACCACAACAGAAACCUAAAAGGACAACUCUCCAUCUUUUACAAGGGAGAUUGUUGAACUCACCUAGCCUUUAUGGUCUGGAUAAGAUGAAAUGAAACAGCUGUGGGAUAGAGAGAGAAUCAGUAAGGUACAGUGUUAUUUGGAAUGGAAGGAAAAGAACUUGUGGCAAGAAAAUCAAGAGACAGGCCAUAAGCUCAGGAUUGGCUCAUCACCAGUCAUGACAGCCCCAAAUAGCUUUAAAAAAAAAAAAAAGCACCAAAUAAACAAGAACAUUGGGGGGAGAAAUGGGUAUUUUGAGCAAAAUGGAUGAGUGAAUGAUUAGGUCUAAUCUUAAUCCAUACCCACUAUCUCAAAAUAGCUACCAAUGUGCCAAAAGUAGUAAAGAAUAAAAAUAAACAGAAUAAGGUUUUUUAAAGGAAUAUAUCAUAGGAAUGACAUCACAGAUAAACUAGCAGUAAGUUGGAUUCUAAAAAGGGAAAAUAAGUAAACAGAGUCAAUUAAAAACAAAUACUACAAAGUCAAGGAAAGUGAUUCUGUGUUGUAGAAGGAAUUCUCUUGUAGAUAGAAGUUAGAUUGGAUAAUCUCUCAUGUUUCUUCUAACUGAGCUUUUGUUAUUUAGUUAGGGGACCCUACAGCCUGCAGAAGCAAGCCAAGAUUGGCUGGGAGUGAGGGCAGGAGAAGAGUCUCUGCCAGGCUUAACCAAAAGAUAUCUAAGGCAAUGAAUUCUGUAGAACAUCCAAACAUUAUAUUAGAUCAACAGCAAAAAAAACAAAAACAGGAUAAUUCGCAAAAGGAUUAAAAUAGGAAUAAAGAUGAAAAUUCAAUCAAUUAUAUUAAUAAAUUAAUAAAUAUUAAUAAAUUUAAAAAUUAAGUACAUACUAUGUGCCAAGCUUUGAGGUAGGCACAGGAGAUUAAAAAAAAAAGACAAAAAUUUUAAAAAAACUCGAGUUUAUAAUCUAGC